GGGCGAUUAGCUCAGGUGGUAGAGCACUUGACUUUUAAUCAAGUUGUCGAGGGUUCGAGUCCCUCAUCGCUCA
rnacentral:tRNA from 1 species